AGCGAACGCUGGCGGCAGGCUUAACACAUGCAAGUCGAGCGGGCGUAGCAAUACGUCAGCGGCAGACGGGUGAGUAACGCGUGGGAACAUACCUUUUGGUUCGGAACAACACAGGGAAACUUGUGCUAAUACCGGAUAAGCCCUUACGGGGAAAGAUUUAUCGCCGAAAGAUUGGCCCGCGUCUGAUUAGCUAGUUGGUGAGGUAACGGCUCACCAAGGCGACGAUCAGUAGCNGGUCUGAGAGGAUGAUCAGCCACAUUGGGACUGAGACACGGCCCAAACUCCUACGGGAGGCAGCAGUGGGGAAUAUUGGACAAUGGGCGCAAGCCUGAUCCAGCCAUGCCGCGUGAGUGAUGAAGGCCCUAGGGUUGUAAAGCUCUUUUGUGCGGGAAGAUAAUGACGGUACCGCAAGAAUAAGCCCCGGCUAACUUCGUGCCAGCCGCCGCUGGUAAC
rnacentral:rRNA from 1 species